AAAGUUACAAAGUUACGGAGUAUGUUAGUUUGGAAAGCUAUUAGAAUGGUUCCGGUGAAGUUCGGGAGCAUUCGGGUGUGUUCGGUGCGCGUUGGGCGCGAAAACGAAACCCGAAAGGCUAUGUUGGACCAUGAACUAAAUCCGGCAUAAGCGUAGAUAAAAAGAUGGUGUAAAUAUGCUCGAAAAUAUGUUUUGGGGGUCUCGGUACGAUUAGAGAUGAAUCGGAGGUCUAACGAGCGAAAACGGAGAAGAAAUGGGCUAAAGCUGAAAAUGCUGAAAAUUUGGCUAAGUCCUAAAAUGCUGGAGU
rnacentral:lncRNA from 1 species